ensembl:lncRNA
CGUGCCCCGGGUUAAAUUCACUGCAUCAAGAUAGCUUACUCACCCGCAGACCCAGACGGACAGUCGGUAAAAGCACCUUUAGCACUCUCAAAAGCUGUUCGGGCAAAGGGUCGAGCGAGCCACUUGACGUCUGAUCUAAAGCUUCGCUAACGGAUGAAAAGGUUUGAUGUUUAAUAUCUUCGCUGGUUAAUGAUUUACGUCUGACGUUGAUCAUACUAUUGACCCCGGAGUGAUGGUACAGUAAAUGAGACUAUGUGGGAUUUCACGAAUGCACUGAGGGGUCAUAGCCGAGGACUGCAGUUCCGCUCGUUCAAACCCUGUCUGCUGAAAAGGAGUGGCUAUUUAAAUAUUACACACACCGGGCUCGAAGAAAAGGACUCGACAAGUUCAUCUCGUUUGGGAUGCAUAAACCUGCAGUCAUAGCCAUUGAAAGUCGUUCAGUCACCCGCAUUCAUGGAUAUUUGACCGCUCGUAAAGCGUAGGCUACGUAUGGCAGAUCUCUGGUGGAUGAUUUGCUGGUGGGAAUGAAUAAUCUAUUCAAUGAAAUGUUCCAAGACCCUGAAGCCAUCCUUCUCUUGAAGUUCCAAAAGAAAUGGACCAUAGAUGAAUCCACAAUUUAAAUCUUAAAGCAACGUGUAAUUUAAUGAAUGUACAUUAAAGAGCAUCUGGAAGUAGCCACACUGCAGCUAGCUGAUUCCUCCAGUCAGAGGACAUCUUCUUUAUCAUUAGGUCGGCACAAACACAAGAAAGUUCUGAACUACUGAAUGGACACCUGGCCUGUUCAUCAGAUAACAUGGUCCUCAAGUCCUCUCCUGCUGUUUGAAACCUGAUUGUUAAACUGAACACACUUUUACCUGCCUCAGCUGCCUGUGAACGACCAUCCAGCUGGACUUGUAUCAGCUCCUUCUCUAAUGACAGUCAUGCCUUUUCCUUUUUUUCUUUGUUUAUUUAUUUGUUGAAAAUCCUGUAGGGAGACAGGGUCAUUAUUGGAAGGGGGAGAAUUGCAGGAAGGAAUGAAUUGAGAAUAGUGUGACUGAGAAUGAUUAAGGGCUGGAACAGAGGAAGUAAAAAUGGGAAAGAGGGUGAGUAGAAACAAGGAAAAGAUGGAGAGGAUGACAGGAGUGUAGAGGAGGAGGAGAGAGUAGAAAGAAGGAAUUGAGGGAGGAAUACAUUUAUAAAUUAGGUAGAAUAUACAUUUGGAAAAAUGAGAACACUGCUUUUGGUAUAUAUAUUCUAUUAUCAUAUAAAGCUCUUGUAUAUCCUGCAGCGAGUCAUUCAUUAUUUGCCUUUUCUACCUUUGUUUACUAUUUGAAGCUACUAUUUUCAGUGUUUGUACUGAAAGAUGAUUUUCAAGUUCUUGUUACUGUACUAGCCUGUUUGACUGUUUAGGUCGGGUAUAAAAGCAGCUUUUUUGACUGAACAAAC